rnacentral:rRNA from 1 species
GAUGAACGCUGGCGGUGUGCCUAAUACAUGCAAGUCGAGCGAAUGGAUUAAGAGCUUGCUCUUAUGAAGUUAGCGGCGGACGGGUGAGUAACACGUGGGUAACCUGCCCAUAAGACUAGGAUAACUCCGGGAAACCGGGGCUAAUACCGGAUAACAUUUUGAACCGCAUGGUUCGAAAUUGAAGGGCGGCUUCGGCUGUCACUUAUGGAUGGACCCGUGUCGCAUUAGCUAGUUGGUGAGGUAACGGCUCACCAAGGCAACGAUGCGUAGCCGACCUGAGAGGGUGAUCGGCCACACUGGGACUGAGACACGGCCCAGACUCCUGCGGGAGGCAGCAGUAGGGAAUCUUCCGCAAUGGACGAAAGUCUGACGGAGCAACGCCGCGUGAGUGAUGAAGGCUUUCGGGUCGUAAAACUCUGUUGUUAGGGAAGAACAAGUGCUAGUUGAAUAAGCUGACACCUUGACGGUACCUAACCAGAAAGCCACGGCUAACUACGUGCCAGCCGCCGCUGUAA